GCCAGCCAGGCAACUGUAGCACGUGUUUCAUCAUGCCUGCCUGGUGAUGACAUGGCUGGGAAGGGAAAACCACACUUGUACAACAAGGAAACAGAAACAAAACUCUGCUACCUAUGCAAUUUUUCCCAUCCAUGCCUUGAGGCUUGCAUGCAGGAGGUGAAUCUAUGGCUACGUGAAGAGAAACCUCAAACACUGCUGGCCGCAGUUCCCACGUUGGAUGAAGCAUCAUUGCACGAUGUGCACCUGCCCGAAGGAGAAGAAUGAAGCAACCAGAGAACUGCAGCAUGGACAGUAUGUUGAUUCAACUAUCAUGAAUUAGUCAGUAAAGAUCACCCUAAUUUAACAUCUACUCUGAAAUCUCUUUCACAAGACACACACAAAAUUAAAUUAAAGAAAAAAAAAAGUGGAAGAAUGUUGAAAGUCUUGUGUUUCAAUAUACCUACUUAAUAACACAAAAAAAGCAAUGUGACUUGCUGUCUUAUGAGCAGAGGCUAUAAUAUUGUUUGCAUAUUAAAAGCAAGCAUACAGUCAGAGAAGCAGAAAGUAAUUAAAGACAGCUCUGUAGAGAAGGAUAGUUAGAGGAAUUUUUUUUUUUUAAAAUAUCAGUUCAAACAUUAUCUGUUUAUUUUGUGUAUGACAAAUUUGA